rnacentral:lncRNA from 1 species
UCUUCUGUGAAAUGCUCUGAUUGCACCCCCAUGAGAUACCACAACUACUCGUUUUCCUGCAUCGGGAAUAAACAAAAUUCAUGUAAGUACUUUUAUGAUAUCAGUCUUAUCAAUUCCAAUAGUUAAAAAAUACCUCUGUGCUUCAUUGCAAUCCUCUGUAAACAAGAAGUGCAGCGUUCAUAAAGGUGAUCUAAACUUUCUCCACCACCCUGCAAAUAAGUGGUGAGAAACUGAAAACAUGCAAACCCUUUAUAAAACAGACAAGAUCAUACAGUCUCUGUUCCUUCCCCUCUUUUUCUUUUAUCUUGGAGUAGGUACUUGAUCCUAUGUCAUGGGAGUCCUGAUUGUAAUUUGGUUCAAUUUGUGGCAGUUGAUGCUCCCUUGAUUAUGAAUUUUAGGUCAAAUUUCCAAUUUGGAGCUCACACUUGUGGAAUGCAUAUGUGACGAAGCAGAUUGAAUAUCCAAGAAGAAAUAAAAGAAGCAGAUUGAAGAAAAUUUAUAUUCAAAAUGAACUACAAGUUUAUUCAAAUGAUGCAGGAUAAUGCUGAUCAUGGCAGUAAUAUUACAUCGAGUACUCUUGUACUUCUUUUUUCCUGGUUUUUUGGGCUUGUAUAGGAGAAAGGAGUACUCACUGGAAUUUCUUGAUCACUUCGGUCAGAGAGAAAAGUCUUAUAAGCCAUAGGUUGACUUUUGGCUGCUUCACGGAGUGAAGUACCUUGAAGAUCUCCUAGAUGUCUCUCUCGAAGUUCUGGAUCUUUAAUGACCUAUAUUAAAGCACAAACCAAAGACAUAAAAGCAAUUUAUUUAGGGGAUGUUUGGUAGAGUUCAUUAGCAAAAAUAAUACAUGAAUUAGCUUUGCGUACUCCUAGUACCCUGUUUGGUACGUUAUUUCAACCUAGCAUUGUCUAUACACUCUAUUUGGUAUUAAGAUGUGUAUAACUAUACAUGGAAAUCCAUGGUAUUAGUAAUGCAAUGGGUUAUAUGAUUAAAGACACAAUUGCCCCUCAAAACCUUUUUCACAUCCUUUCCACCAUAUUAGUGGAGGGUAUUUUUGUAAGAAUAUAUUUCUUUAAAAAAGAUUAUGCAAUGCAUGUUAUUUUGAACACACCAAACCAAACACACAUUAAAAAAAAAAAAUAUUUAGCAUAACUAAUACUAGCAUUACUAAUACACCAUAUUUUACAUUAUUCUUAUACUCUACCGGUCUUGAGCCGGGGGUCUAUCGGAAACAGCCUUGCUACCUCUCCGGAGGUAGUGGUAUGGACUGUGUACAUCUUACCCUCCCCAGACCCCACUGUGUGGGAAUACACUGAGUUGUUGUUGUUGUUGUCGUAUACUCUACCAAACGAUACUCAAAUAUACUGCCUAGUCAACUAUUCCAAGAAGGCGAUUUAUUUUUCGCAACACCGCUUGGCAGCCAUGCCACACUGCACAACUUCAGCCCCACACACACUGCACGGUCGAAGUAGAAUAGACUAAGUAUACGGUAACGUAAAGCACUCAACAAUAUACAGGAAACAAGUUCCCAACCUUUAUUACUCUCUCAGAAUCACAAAGGAACAAUGCCACACGAAUUUAUAAGGCAUUACAACCUCCACUCAGCAUCACAAUAUAAAGACUGCACAUGGGCGAUUAUAAAAAAAAUCUUAGCAUAACUAAUACACCAUAUUUUACACUAUUCUUAUACACUCUGCCAAACGAUACUCCAAUAUACUGCCUAGUCAGCUAUUCCAAGAAGGCGAUUUAUUUUUUGCAGCACCGCUUGGCAGUCAUGCCACACAGCACAACUUCAGCCACACACACACUGCACAGUCGAAGUAGAAUAGACUAAGUAUACAGUAAUGUAAAGUACUCAACAAUGUAUAGAAAACAAGUUCCCAGCCUUUAUUAUUCUCUCAGAAUCACAAAGGAACAACGCCACACGAAUUUACAAGGCAUUACAAACUCCACUUCCUUAGACAAAUUUUGGCAUCACAAUAUAAAGACUACACAUGGGCGGUUAUGCCGUUUGGGUUGACAAACGCCCCGACAAUUUUCUGCAACUUGAUGAAUGAUGUGUUAUUUGAUUACCUUUGACGACUUUGUGGUGGCAUAUUUGGAUGACAUUGUCAUUUAUAGUUGCUCUCUUGAUGAACACUUGGAACACUUACAGUUAGUAUUGUCUCGUUUGAGGGAGUACAAACUUUACGUGAAGAUGGAAAAAUGUGAAUAUGCUAAGAAGGAAGUGAAGUUCCUUGGGCAUUUGGUUAGUCAAAACCAAAUGAGAACGGAUCCAAAGAAGGUGCAAGCAAUUGUGGAAUGGUAGACGCCUAGUGGGGUCAAAUAAUUGAGAUCGUUCUUGGGUUUGGCUAAUUAGUAUCGCAAGUUCAAUGCAGGUUACUCAAAGAAAGCGGUUGCAUGAACAAAUUUGUUGAAGAAAGAUGCCAAAUGGGUGUGGUUUGAAAAAUGUGAUGCAGCAUUUCAGACAUUGAAGGAAGCCAUUGCUUUAGAACCAUCUUGAAGCUGCCAGAUUUUGAGUUGCCUUUUAAAGUACAUACUGACGCGUCGGACAAAGCUGUUGGGGGCAUGUUGGUACAAGAAGAUCAUCCCAUGGCCUUUGAAAGUCGGAAAUUGAGUGAUGCGGAGUAGCGGUAUUCGACCCAUGAAAAAAAAAUAGUGGCAGUAGUGCAUUGCUUGCAAACUUGGAGGGUGUAAUUGUUGGGUACUCAUUUCAUUGUGCGGAUUGACAAUGUUGCUAAUACUUUCUUUAAGACGCAAAAAAGGUUAAGUCCAAAGCAGGCUUGGUGGCAGGAAUUCUUGGCUGAAUAUGACUUCAUAUGGGAGCAUAAACUAGGAAAGCACAACCAAGUUGCUGAUGCACUCAGUCGAAAAGAGGCAUUUGAUGCAAUAUACUCUAUUUCUCGACUUAAAACUGGUUUUCUUGAUAGAAUCAAAUUUUGUGCUGCAAAUGAUCCACUCUAUGUCAAAUAGAUGAGUCAAGUGAAAGAUGGGACAAUUAGAUAGUGUUGGAUCGAGGAUGAUCUCCUUUUAUUUUAAGGGGGAGAAUCAUAGUACCUCAAGGCAGCGGAUUGCGUAAAGAUUUGAUGAAAGAAGCGCAUGAUACUCCUUGGGCUGGUCAUUCGGGUGUUGAACGGAUGCUAACUUUGCUGUCCCGUGUGUAUUCCUAGCCUAAGAUGGAAGAAGACAUUAAAGCCUACAUGAAGACUUGUCAAGUUUGUCAAAGAGACAAGACUGAAUGCAUGAAGAAGGCAGGUUUGUUGCACCAAUUCCUGAAAGUCCAUGGUUGUCUGUCUCAAUGGACUUCAUUUCUGGAUUUCCAAAGGUUGAUGGCAAUGUAUCUAUAAUGGUGGUGGUGGACAGGUUUUCAAAAUAUGCUAUCUUUGUUGCUGCACCAAUUACUUGCUUGUCUGAAGUUGCUGCAGGUUUAUUUUGUAAGAACGUCGUGAAAUACUUUGGUUUGCCAAGUGACAUUGUGAGUGAUUGAGAUACGCGGUUCACUGGUCGGUUCUCGCAGACAUUGUUUAGCAUGAUGGGGACUGGCUUGAAGUUUUCCACAGCAAAUCAUCCUCCUCAAACUGAUGGUCAAACUGAAAGAAUCAAUCAUUUGCUAGAAAAAUAAUUGAGGCAUUUUGUGACAACAAGCCAACGUAACUGGGCAGACUUGUUGGAUACGACACAGUUUUGCUAUAAUCUACGCAGGUCGUUAGCAACAGAGGAGCCCAUUUGAACUUGUCUUAAGCAUGCGGCCUAUGACACCACUUGAGGUAGUGACGCUGAAAAGUCAUGGCAUUUGUCUUGCUGCUUACAGGCAUGCAAAAGACAAGCAUGACAUGCUUGUUGAGGCAUAAGACAGCUUGAGAAAGGCCCAGAAAUGCAUGAAGAAGUAUGCUAACCAGCAUAGACGUGCAGUGGAGUUCAACGUGGGAGACAAGGUGCUUUUAAAGCUCACUCCACAAAUUUGGAAACAGAUUGUGAGCAAAAGAAGGCAUAGGGGAUUUAUUCCAAGAUAUGAUGGCCCAUUUAAAGUUGUUGAGAAGAUUGGGGAAGUCGCUUACAAGUUGAAUUUGCUGGGAAGGUUGAAGAUUCAUUCUACUUUUCAUGUCAGUUUUCUGAAAAGGUAUCAUGAAGAUGCUGAAGACCCGAGCAGAAACAAAUCUAAGAGGGCUCCUCCUUUGAAUCCGAAGCAGUACAAGACCAAGAUGGUGAAAAUACUUGAUCAUUGGACUGUGGGAAACAGCAAGAGGAAUACUAAGACAGAAUUUCUGAUACAAUGGAAAGGCAAGAGUGAAAAAGAUGUGGUUUGGGAGAAGGCUCAAAACUUAUGGCAAUUCGACAAGCAAAUUGAGGACUACCUCAAAACAACCUCGACGAGGGCAUCGAGUUCAUAUAGUGGGGGUGCAUUGUUAGACCCCCGUCUAAGACAUGAUGGUCGGCAAGCCAUAUCAAGGUGCACAUUGGCCUUGACAUGUGCUGAGACAAGCAAUGUGAUGCUGUGAUGGCUAUGAGAUAGCAGACAGCUUAUGAUGACCAAGAAGCUGGAGUGUCGGCAAGGAAGCCUUGGGCACAACAGGCGGCAACAGACGCAUGGCACCUAUGCGGGCAUGCGUGCAGGCAGUGACAUAGACUCGGCAAGGUGCUGGAUGGCACAGGCAAUGGCAUUGGCAUGACAUGGUCUAGGCAGUGGCGUGGCCAAGGUAAUGACAUGGUCAAGACAGUGGCAUGGCCUAGGCAGUGACACAGCUAAGGCAGCAGCAUGGCGCAGGCAGUGACAUAACACAAGCAAGGCAUGGUCCUGGCAAGGCAAUGCUGUGGCUGGAAGACAUGACAAGACAAGGACGAAAUAUUCUUAGUGUUGGAAGCUGAAAAUUGGCGAAGUGUGGAACAUGGCAAAAUUGGCUAUGGGGCAGUUGCAAAUUCGAAUUUGAAUGUUUGUAUAUGUGGGAUUUUCAGAUAUGUAAUUUAAAUACUUAGAUAAAGUCUGUUGAGUCAUGUGAUAGGCAUGCAGGCCAUGUCCAAUGACAUGUUGCCAAGUGUGGCAGUUGAAACUGCUUGUAACCGCCCAUGUACAGUCUUUAUAUUGUGAUGCUGGAAUUUGUCUAAGGCAGUAAGGGUUGUAAUGCCUUAGCAAAUUCGUGCGACAUUGUUCCUUUAUGAUUUUGAGAGGAUAAUAAAGGUUGGAACUUGUUUCCUGUACAUUAUUAAAUGCUUCACGUUACUGUAUACUUAGUCUAUUCUACUUAGACUGUGCAGUGUGUGUGAGGCUGAAGUUGUGCAGUGUGGCAUGACUGUCAAGCGGUGGUGCUGCAAAAAAUAAAUUGCCUUGUAAAACCCCAAAUUUUUCAAGCUCUAGACCUCUUAAAAGAUAGGCCACGAAGUUAGCUUUCCAAUGCUUCAAGCCUCGUCCUAAUAUGAUGUCGUGGCAAGAAGUUACGGAAGAUUUCCCUUAAUGGCCUGAUUCACUGUUAUGACUACGACUCAAGGUAACGAGUCGUAACCACUCGUGACGAGUCGUCAUGAAUGAGUCUUAGUCACUCUAGUGGAUCCCUCAGCUGUAGCCAAGUAACUACGACUCCUCAUUACGACCCGUAAUGAGUGGCUACGAGUCGUAUGGAAGGAUUCAUAGUCACAACAAUAUGUAAUCCAAAAAUACAACCCAGUGGUUACGAGUCCAGUAUGUGGCUCGUAUCUAGACAUUAUGAGUCGUUAUGAAGACUCGUAGCUUGACCAGUAAAGGAUCAAAGAAUCAAGCCUCAUGUUUUGGUAGUUUUACAAGUGGCUUAGACAUAUAUUAAGACCCCAAAUAGCUCUUAGCUUAUAGACAAGUCAAGACAUCCCUUAGCGAUUAAAUUCUUGUGAAGUAUAAAACUAUAGUCAGCUUUAAACGAGCAUAGCUUUUGGUAUACCAAGAAUAUUUAAGCUCAAGACCACCAACAGAUAGAUAAUUGAAUUAGCUUUCCAACGAUACCAAUUUUGCCUUAAUCCAAUAUCGAGGUGAAAGUUAUGGCCAAAAAACCGAAGCACUGUCAAAGCUGCCUAGACUACGACUCGUAAGGUCUCAUUACGGGUCGUUAGGAGGGAGUCGUAAUCUGGGCAGUAAAGGCUGAAAAUGGGUGUCUGACUACGACUCAAGUCACGACUCAUAGCCAAACCUUACGAGUCGUGACCUUAAGUCGUUGGGACUACUUCCAGGCAACUUCCAGACGAUACCAAAGGGGUUUUUUGGUCUUUUCCCACUCUUUUAACCCCAAAACUACGUCAUUUCACCCUCUAAACAAUGGUUAUCAAGCGUAAAUAUUACCCUAACCUAUCAUAACUCCGAAAUCAUUCAUCAUAGAGCAAAAAGAGGCGAUUCUUUUCUCCCCAAAGCCAACUAGGGUUCUUCGAGUUCAAUCCCAAGAAAUUUAUCCAAGGCUUCUACAAACAAGGCAUGUAGGGUUUGAGCAAGGAUAAUCUUUCAUCCUUGUGCCCAAAAGCUUGAAUUUAAAAUUGAAUUUAUGUGAUUUCAAUUAGGGUUCAUACCUAAAUUCCCAUAUUCUUGAAUUAUGAUAUUAUUAUGCGAUUAGAAGUUUAAUUUACACAAGAAAUUACUUCUAUUCAUGUUUCGACUUACAAGAUUGCUAUUAUAACAUGAUUUUUAUUAUCAUGACUUAGAAGUUGACAAAUUGGUGAAAGAUUCUGAUUUAAAUUUUGAGCAUGGUAUUUCGAUGGGAAUUCGUGAAAGAUUCUGAUUUAAAUUUAAAGCCUCUUUCUCAUUUAUGAGGUAGUGGUAUGGAUUGAGUACACUUACCCUCCAGAGCCCACUUGGUGGGAAUAUACUAGGUAUGUUGUUAUUGUUAUUGUAUUUUGAUAUAAAGCCUCUAUGAAAUAAUGCUAUGAAUUUCAAGAUUUAAACACAAGCUAUUGAGUUACAAGAAGUUUAAGCUUAUAAGUUCAAUUUGCAGUAUUGUAACUUGAUUAAAGUUUAAUUUUGAUCUUAUAAUCACAUUCAAGAUCUGAAAUCCACAACUUCACCCAUUGGGUAUGAUUUAAGCAACAGAAGCAUAGUUGGUUUCUAAUUUACAAACCCAUAUGCUAUUUUAAGGUGAAUUUCCUAAGUGUGAGCUUAUAUAUAUAUAUAUAUAUAUUUGAGAGUAGUAUUUAGCACCGAAAAGGGAAUAUGUGUGUGUGUAUAUAUAUAUAUUUGGGAGUAGUAUUUAGCACCGAGAAGGAAAUGUGGAUGAGUGUAUCCUAAUUUCCAGAAACUACGAGCCACCGUAGGUUUAAAGGUCUGUCAAGAGAGUGUCCCUUUCGUUUCCAAAUAUGGAUGAAGUUUAGUGAUCACUAUAAGUUAAGGUUCUAUUCUGAUGGCAACGGUAGGAUAGCUCUCCCCAACGUGGGUAAGACGUUGGAUUCCAUGAUAGCUCACAUGGUUUAUGUCGGUUAUAAGAAUCUCCCACAGGAAAGAAUAAAAGUAAAGAUUUUAGAAACAAAGUGUAAUGACUCACUAAGCUUAUUCAUUAUGCUUUAUUAGUCAUGUUUUUUUUGUUUUUUUUGAAACUGAAAAAAAAAAACUGUUUUAUUCAUAUCCAAGGUGAAUCCUUUUACGCUUAGAAUGCAUGAUUUGAAAGUAUAUUCAGUUUCUGUUUUACUUAUGCAUUCACCCCUAUAUUCUCAGUACAUUCCAAAGUACUGACCACAUCUAUGCAUUUGUGGCUACAUCCCUUCAUAAUGUAGGUAUCAGAUGUAGCCCACACACCAGGGUCAGACAGUUCACAACACACAGCCAGCAGGUGAGGAGUUCUCUUAUUUCAGGGACUCAAGUCAGUUGUAGUUCAUGUAUCUUAUUUUCAUUAUUCUUAUGUAUUGAUUAAAGAUAGUUGGGGGUCAUGUCCCGAC